AUUUUCGACCCGGGAUUAGCCAAUCCUCACCUCGGCGGAUGGGGUCAUGCGCGCUGCAGCUGCACCUGUUUUUGCAACCCUUGCGGACCCCCACUCCCCUGCCCUUGCUGGCUUUGCUAUAAAUAGCUUUUUGGCAAGCUCUUCCUUUGCCUAAAUUAGUAAUGGGGUAGGUAGAAAUGUCACCCCUUUUCACAAUUCCUUUGGGAGUUCUGGGAAAGGCACAGAGGUGUGUGAGGAUAUAAUUCAGUGUUGGUUUUUUUUUCCCUUCAAGCUAGGCAAGCUAUCUGUUUGCCUUCCUCUUCAUUUUUCCCAAUUCCUAUUUGAUUAUUUGUAAUGCAUCCAUGAAUGUCACGAGAAGGAAUUUUUUUGUUUCUGUAACCUUGAUAAGGAAGGCAAGGGAGCCAAUUUUUUUUUUUUUUUUACUCCUGUUAGUGAAGCUGUUCAGAGAAAGGAACAUGUAGAAGCUGAUGAGUGAAUCCAUUUGGACCAUUAUCUUCUGAACCUUUAGGAGGAGCUUUUUGAACAGCUUAUUCUUUAUACAUAGACACAAAGUCAUAAAAUGAUACUAGCUUUCCAGAGGGCUGCCUCCUCCACAGUUUACUCAUGUAUUGUAGAGCUUUUUAAGGCCUGAAGAAAGGUUUUGUGGCCUAUAAUCUUGUUUGUCUCACCCCAGCUAUGUCUGUUGAUCUAAUAAAAGAUGUUACUUUUCCCUACAAAGCUAUUUUAUGCUCAUCAGCCAUGAGGUCAAGCCCAUUUGAUAAAAUGAGCUGAUCAUGAAUAAACAUGGACUGCAACUUAGAAGAUUAUUAACUGUCAGAGGCGUAAGAUUCUGGAAGUCUUGCAGUGGAGAUAUUGAAGGCAAGAAAAGAAAUUGGUUUUAAGAUAGAGCUUGGUAAAUUUAUGAAUGGGAUUAUAGUGAAUGGUCUUUUCCAGUUUAUUAUGCUGUCUUAAUUCUGUGUGUUUAAUGAAUAGACCGCAGCCAGUGUUUCAACUGUAUACUAUUUGAUUGAUCCUGGAGACAUCACUUGCAAAUUAUACUUCAUCAUCAUUUCCAAGGUAGCUAUGUAAAAUGAUCGCUCCAGAGAAAUUCAGAGCUUGAAUUCUUGAAUAUGAAUGAGACAUGACUCUCAGGGAAGUUAGAUCUCCAGCAGCUGCCCAUCACUUUAAGCACAGCAUUUGCAGUGGAGAGUCACCAAGUCAGCCUCUCAGCUGGUGUGAAUUGUCAUUGUGCACUGAAGUGGAGCAAUGCUAAUUUACACCAACUGAAAAUUUGACCUAAGAUUAGCUCUCUGUUCAAAUUUUUCAUGUCCUUCACUGUGUUUCUCUUCUGUCCAUGAGAUAGGAAGGUGUUUUGGUUAAGAAAGCAAACAGUGUGUUACUUCAGUGUUUAUUUUACCACAUUUGACCUGACAUGCUAGGCAAAAACUGGGAGGCUUGGAAGUUGUAUAAAAGUUAGGAGGGGAUGCUGGUCUCAGCUACCUCUGAUCCAGUCCUUUUUACAUUGGAGUCAUGCUAAUCCAAAUAUUUUUGGACCGUGCCAUCCUCGAGGUGAGUGAAAAUUGUAUUCUGCCCUGUUGGAUUUACUAAUAUGAAUGGGCUUCAGAAAUACAGGUUGUGUUUUUGCAUUAAAAAAAUGAGUAUUUGGCCUAAGAUGUAUCAAAAGAAACAAUACAUUUCUGGUAUAGAUAGCAACAAAAAAUAAUUCUGGCAGUAGCAGCAGCAAUUCCAGAUACUAAAGUAUUGGCUGAGUUGUGUGGGAUCAGUGAAUUCCAGAACAGUGAAGUCCCACUAUCUCUAUAAAGAAUGUUAAAACUCUGUUUCUUCUGGAAACUGGAGGAAUGAAGGACAGAAGGCACAUAUUUUUGUUGCUGGGUUUUGGUUUUGUUUUUUUAAAUUUUUUUUUAAGCUUACAGUUGCAAAUCUAAGAGUUCAUGUAGCCCUCAGUGUCAAAGCUCAUUUUUUUAAGCCUUUUCUUCAUGGUCCUUCCGUGCUCCUGUGGAUGUGUCUGGCUUUUCCUGAGUUUGUUUUUAAACUACUUGACAUGGUUUUUCUGUCACCCGUAUUCAUACUCAUGCACCAAACAUGCAGUGAAAUUGUAUUCACCCACAUAGCUCAAAUUCUCAGAUUCCUGAAUGGCCUCAGACUUGCUGUUCCUUUAGGUGGUGGCAUGUGCCUGUCUGUAUUUGGAGAUCUCUGGCAUUUCAGCUGUCUGCUUCCCAAAGAACAAAAAAGGCCUUGUACAAAAAACUGUCGGAAAUGAAUGGUGACAGUUACACUUACCAGCUACAACAAACUUUACCCAACCCGUAAAAGUAUGUCUAUGCAAAUGCCAAGUGUUCAUAUAUGCUUUUUUUAGCAAGUUGUUAGCCACAUUUCUCAGUGAGUUAUGUAUUGGUCAUCUGAAACUUCCUUUUUUUGGGGCUUGUUUAUCCUGCAGAUACGUUAUCUACUUGACACUUUAUGAAUACAAAUACCAUUCAACAAUGUGCUUCAAUCAAAGAUAGAAAAUGUUCCCUCUCUUUACAUUAUUUUUAGAAUACUAAUGUUUACAAAAAGUUUAAUGUUAUUCUUUGUUUAAACUAAGAUAAAUUUGGCAGAAGCCAAAUUUAAUAUUCAUGGAGGCAUCAUGACAUCAUUUCCUUGGAAUAGUUUAGUUUCUGUGUGUCCACUGACCUUUCUGUUGCAGAAUAUGACUCAUUUAUUCUAAAGCUUUAUUUCAGAAUUUAAAUCCUUCACUAAUCAUAAGACAUUGUUUAUGGUAUGAGCAAGGUUAUGCCAAGGUUCCUUCUGCUAGAGACCCAGGGGAGGGGGCUGGAUGAGACGGCAUACCAACUAGUGAAUGAACAGGCAAAGGAAUGAGAGUAAUUUUCACUUGUGAAUUUUUAAAUCAUGGGUUUAUUUAUUCUUUCCAGAACACUGUGUUAGCUGGGUUGCUAAGAGAGUCCUUCUCCAAGGCUUUGGAGGCCGCUUGUAUCUCAACAAUGCAAAAACUGUCAUACCCCCUCUGGAGGAAGGAAAGAUAAUGUUGAAUCUUGCUCCCCAUGCAGUUGAAUCUUUUGGCCAAUGUAGAUUGUACUGAUGGAUGAGAGGAGAGGAAGUAAGCAAAACUUGAAGGUAGUUUGGAAAAUGAAGAAGGAUGGAGAAUGAAUAAGGCAUGAAGUAAGCGUUCAAGCUUUUCACAGCACACACAGUGAAGAAGCUGAGCUAUAAGGCAUGUUGUUAAUGUGUGAUGAUUCAUCCAGCGCUCCAAAAUAUUCCGACAGUUUUUCAGCAUUCUUUGCUGCUUCUUGCUGACCCUUCUUCCUGCACUGUCCCGGUUCCUGCAUGACUGGUUCCUGUAAGAUGCUUCAGUGCGGUCCCUGUCAGAACGUCAUGAUGCCCUUUAAUCCCAUGUCACUCAGACAUAUGGAACUAAGCGUAUUCUGGACUGCAGCCUUUCAGCCUCAGCCUUGAAAGCCACUUGCCAUAAAGUUUACAAUGGGUAACUUGUCCUCUGAGUUAUUUUGGCUUCAGUUUGGGUUAUUUUGAGUUUUGUUUUAAAGAAACAGAGAAUAUCAGUCCUGAUCCUCAUAUAGGAUAUAUACAUAUAGUGUAUACUUUAGUAUACACUUGUUCUUCUGCUAACAUGUAAGAAAAAACAGGGUGCUUUCAGUGUGUUGUAGUUGCUUAUCCAGACAUAACCCUGGGGCAAAAGACAAGUACACACAGCAGGGUGUGCAAGGCUAACACUAUGAAAAUAUUUUAGAAAGGAAGUGCUGCAAAUAGAAGACAUGUUAAUGAAUGCACAUUUCUCUUCUUCUGUUCUGUGUGGUUCUCUUCUGUUUGAUGCUGUUAAUACCUGUCUUGCUACUCUUCACUUAUGGCCGUGCUAAAUAUGUCCAGUUCUGUGCUAAGAACAGAGCCCAUGCUGCCUUUUUGUGCUCCCCUUGUCUGCCUCGGCUAGAGGUAGCUGAAAAAAAGAACAAAAUGCUCCCUUCACUAGGAGUGAACUGCCUGCCUUCAUGGUCAUUGUGACAUGCGGAUACGGGAUCCAAAUCGGACAGCGGAACAAUUCCCUCCUGUUUUCUUGAAUCGGUGUACUUCUCGGUGCUAGUCCUUGUACAUUUGAUCUCAUUUCAGGGGCACAAAGGUGCUUGGGGCUGGGCUGCAUCUGCCACAGCUGCAAGAUGCCAGGCGGAGCUUACAGACCAGUUCUGUCCCAAAGGGAGCAUAGUUCCAGUGAUGUAGGAAGAUCGUUUCUUACAUCCACCCGAGUCAACCCGAAGAUGGGGUUCAUCCUGCUCUGCCAUCCCAAAGUUCAGGGAGUGAUGCCAUCCAGAGCUGGCUGUGGGAUGGAUAGGCUGAGUCAUCCUCCAGAGGUGCCUAUUUCUACCUGUUGGCCAUGGGCCACUACAGUGACCGCACAAACUUAGCUUACACGUGUAACUCAUUGAUGGCUAAGAUUUGGGGAAAGAUCCUGCACAGGAAGAUGAUCUUCACUGAAUAAAUUAAGUUGCUGUGGAGGCAUUUUAUAAAAAAAAUUCAGUUCUCUUGGUAGAUUUACUGAUGUGACUAACGUUUUGUAAGACUAUUUUUGUUGUUAAAGACGAACAGACAGAAAAAGGAUAUCAAUCUUCAAUUUUUGUCAAAACUUGUGACAGCAACACCAUACAGAGACCAGUUAUUUUCAUUACCAGUUGGUUGGGGUUUUUCUGGUGUGGUUUUUGAUUUGGGGUUUUGGUUUUUUUUUGUGAUAGGUUAAAACUUGGUCACACACACUGUGUUCAUAUUGCAGUUUCCCAUGCUGAGUGACUGCCUCAGGCUAAUGGUUUUGAUAAGUUUUUGCCAAAAUAAGUUGAGGGCUUGAUAUAAUGAGUUUAGCAAAAACUCACUGUUUUGAUUAUAGGUCUAUACAAUUAAUUUACUUUUAGUUUGCUUUGGAAAAAAAAUUCCACAAAAAUAGACAUAGUCAACAAGCUACAUUAAAAGAAUUUUAACACUGCGAAAUUCACACGUAUGAGCUGGGUGCCCUGUGUAAAAGAAUGUUUCAUUUAUGUAAUUAAUGUCUGUGUUGUAAGACACAAACGGAAAAGGUUGAUAGCCUUUAAGUUCUUAAUAUGGAUUUUAAGAAAUGUUCCUUCAAAUGGAUUUUUGUGGAUGUAAUCUUUUCAAAGAGGCUAUAUUUGGAAUUUAGAACAUAGUUCAUGGUGGUAGAAUUAUUAAUCAUUAACCUUGAUUUUUUUUGACUGCAGUAUGAUGUACUAAUAACAAUCAAAACACAAGAAAUAAGGGAAUAGAAAUUUUGGGCAUUUAAAGAAUUAAAAAAAUGUUAAAAUGGAGUAAUAUGAUGUGAGAAUACUGACUGUCCUUUGUCUGAUGUGAGGAGUUAUCCUGAUUUGGAAGAUUGUAGGUUGUUUGGGGCAGGAUGGGGGACACUGAGAACAGAAUCAAGUUUAUUUUGAUGCUGUGCUGCUUGCUUAACAAUAACAGUAGGAGUCACUGCCUUUACAUUCAAGCCCAGUCAGUCUUUAGCUCAAGUGCUCUCACAAUUAGUUUUUCUCAAAGCUAUGUUCUGAGCACGUAUUAGCAAUAUUGUCCAAUCCCUACGCAUAAUUUCUCCUUUCUUUCUAUUCCAGGUACAAAAUCUAAUUCUAACAGCUCACAUUUGGGCAUUAUUAACUUUUAUCUAGAGGCUGAGCUUUCCGUUGUGGCUGUUCUCUGAUGGACUAAAAAAAGUACAACCAAUCUAAAAUGAAUUUUAACUGGAAUGUAUUGGCUUUCUCUCCUGCUUCAAAUCUCUUCUCAAAACUCAGCUCUUCAGCUAGCAUUCCCUUGUUAAUCUCCUGUCUUAUGUUACUGAGGGAAACUGACUGCUUUUGAUCAUAUUAGAUUGUUAAACAAAAGGUCAAGUAAACAAAAAGUCUCAAACACCCUGAGAAGUUAACCCAAGGUGACAAGUUGAAUGAUCAAAGUACUGAACUCCUGUGUGCUAAAAAAAGUAGGAAUGUUCUAUCACUUUCUCUCUUUCAGUUGCAUUAUCACUUCAGUUUCCUCCCCUAGGUUGUGAUUCAUUCAACUAGCACUCUAAAAGAUACAUGCGUAGUGUAAAGCUGGGUAUUCAGCUACAUCUCUUAUCAGUGGAGAGAAAGAGGCCUCACCACAGAGUGAUUCAUUCCAUCCUAAGACAGGUGAAAUAGUCUCUUUUCAUCAACUGUGGAGGGAAGCUAAAACCAAUUUAGACUCUGUAUCUAAUUUUUAGACUGAUAAAAUUAGGUGAGAUGAAUCUCAUCCCUAGUGUUGAUGUUAAUUGUUUUAAGCUGGGAAUCUUGGUUUCUAUCUGAGGCGCAUCAUGAUUAGCAAUGAUGGCAAACACCUCAGAAUAGUCUGUGCUGUAAUUAGCAUGUUCUUGAAUAUUGCUUCAUUCAGGAGCCUCAGUCAUUUUGACGGGAAGAACAGUCGCAUAAUGCACAUGUGGGAGAAGAGAUUUCCACUUGGGUGACAGUUUAGUUCACAACUCUUGUAACGGAAGAGGUUUCAGUACUGAGCAGGAGUGGGAAAAUACUGACUUUUCAUUCAAACUGCGAAAGUGAGGUCUAGGUGGAAAGUGAUUUUAUGUUUUGGAGGAAAGUCAAGCUUUUUAAAAUAUUUUAAAAUCACACAAUAUGGUGAUGUUACAAUGUUUUUUUCUGUCUUAAAAUUAGAGCUGAUGAUGGAAUAAAUGUGAGACUCAUAACGGCAGCAUGCAUUUAGGGGGUUUCAGGCACCUAAUUCAAAGAAAAUGAGUCAUGAAAACUAACCGUGCAGUUGGUGGAGACUUUAUAGUGUCUAACCUUUCAUUAGAAAAAUAUCUGGAAAAUUUACUUGAUGUUUUGCUAUUGAUCUUAAUCACAGUGCCACCAUCUUGGUUAAAAGGAAUAUAAAUAUACCUGGAUCACAUGUCUAAUCAAUAAAAGUGAAGAAUUGUCCUAACUCUUACACCGGCUGAAAGGCCUGAUCUGGUACCUUCAGAGCAGACUUGAUUCACAGGAUUAGCCAUGCAUCCAACACAGAGUGCUGCAGCAGAGGUUUGCAGAUACACACUUAAGACAAAUAUAGCACAGGUAAAUUAAGCAGUGACAAGAGCAGUAAACAAUUAAUCUUUAACUUUUCUUUCUUGUACUGCCAAAAACCCUCAAACCAACAAUGUAAUCUUAAUAUAUUUACAAGAUUCUAGGUUUUUUGAGCGCCUCUCCUCUCUGUCUUUUAAACGACAGCCAGUUUGCUGGCAGGGGUCUGUUAAUAUGUCUCUUCUAGGGAAUAUUCUUAGCUUUUAAAGCCUGCUAAAUGAAAAUAAUAAUAUGAAAUUGCAAUCAGUCGAAUAGAGGAAUAUAAUGUGGCUAAUGGAAAACUACAGUGAAGGGUGAUUAAAGGGUAUGUUUUCUUUUGAGGAAGGACAUCUUGUCUUCUGAUUGGGAAACUUUGUUGCUUUGGUAGGGUAGCAGCUAAUCCCACUUCUUGUGGCAUGGUGUAGUCAUAACACCAUGAGCUUUUGAACUUUGUCUGCUGUAUUGGUUGCAUUCUUUGUGCUUAGAGCUGGGUUUUAGCAUAUCUCAACCAAGAUUCCCUGUCUCCUUUUGUUUGGUCAGCAUUGACCAGAUUCCUUCAUGACACACCGCUGAUGCUAGUGGCCUUUUGGUGCAAGGCCACCUGAAGUAUUUUAAAAGUGUUUCAUUCAUAACCUAAAAACAUGUGCCAACAUUAAAGGCACUGCAAAAGCAAGUAACUAUAUUAUUUUAUCGUACGCUGCCUGGGGUUAGCAGCAUACUACUCUUACACCCCUGGAACAACAGGUCGCUACAGUGUUAUUGUCCACACAAAUUUAAUAUUUAAGAUACAGCAUUGCAAUUCCUUCUACAAACUUUUGUAUAUAAAUUUAACAAAAAAUCAGAGAGGAUGAGCAGAAAAAAAAUGUUGUCAAUACUAAUAUGAUCAGGGUAGAAGUUUUUUGGUGAAAAUAAAAUCAUAGCAAAAAAUCCGCUUUCAUACAUACAUACAGCAAAAGUGUAGCCCUAUGAAUAUAUACUCAUUUAAACUAAUACGCAUUUCCUGAAUGCGUUAUUUCACAGCGUGAAUACAGUAAUGCUUGUUAUAGGAUUAGACUUGUUUGUAUUCAUACUUCCAAUUCAUUAAUUGAAAUAUAUUAAUAACCUAUGUAAACCCCACUCAAAUUAGACAUCUCGGGCAUUUUCCUGUAAAUACUUGUUUAUAAGGGUUUGGGUAUUUUUUCUGUUUAAAUGGCUUUGGGUUGGUUUUGUGUGUGUGUUUGUUUUUACAAUUUAAUUCCCAGUCAUGUUAUCAAUUUGAGUGUAAAAAGAUAUGUAAAAAUAAUGUGAGAUUAAAAAACCUGCGACAAGUAUGGUUCUGUACAGGUUGAUAGAAACCCAAGGGAAGCAGUUUUUCCAUGACACUGUUCUAAAGCAUAACACUGAGGGGAAACUUGGAAAGAUCAUAUGCCAUAUUGGUAGAAUAGAAGUUAUUUUAGUAAAAACAUUCUGAGAGGUCCAUUUUGCAGUAUCAUAAUUGCCAGGGAGGACUUUGACUUGCUUUAUUCAAGGGAAUAGCAUCCAAACAAAAAUUUUCAUCAUAUUUUCCAUAUGGAGCAAAAGCCUAAAUAAAAGAUACUGACAAAAAGAGGGGUAUGCAUUUUUGCUUAAGGAUUAGUCUCAUUUUAAUUGAAUAUCCACAGGUUCUUAUGGAAUAAUACAAAGCAAAAAUAAUACAUACUUAACAGCAAUCUAUGUCUUCUAGCAUAAACCACUUAAUUACAAACACUUUAGAAAAAUGACAGUUCACACAUUUUUACAUGUAGGUUUGGGUUAAAAGGGCCCACUACAAAGGAAAAAAAAAACUGAGAUAGAUUAUGUUAUAUUGUCAUGGUGACUUUUUAAAA